rnacentral:rRNA from 1 species
UGUUAGUGGCACACGGGUGAGUAACACGUAGGAAUCUACCUUAUAGUACGGAAUAACAGUUGGAAACGACUGCUAAUACCGUAUACGCUCUUAGGAGGAAAGAAUUAUCGCUAUAAGAUGAGCCUGCGCUAGAUUAGAUAGUUGGUGGGGUAAUGGCCUACCAAGUCGAUGAUCUAUAGCUGGUCUGAGAGGACGAUCAGCCACACUGGGACUGAGACACGGCCCAGACUCC